rnacentral:rRNA from 1 species
UUUACGGAGAGUUUGAUUCUGGCUCAGAACGAACGCUGGCGGCGUGGAUAAGACAUGCAAGUCGAACGGGAUUAUUUCUAGUAGCAAUACCUGAAAUAAUUUAGUGGCGAACGGGUGCGUAACACGUGGGGAAUCUGCCGAGAAGUGGGGGAUAGCUCGUCGAAAGGCGAAUUAAUACCGCAUAUGAUCAGGGAAGACAUCUUUCCAACAUCAAAGCCGGGGCAACCUGGCGCUUCUUGAUGACCCCGCGGCCUAUCAGCUAGUUGGUGAGGUAACGGCCCACCAAGGCUAUGACGGGUAGCUGGUCUGAGAGGACGACCAGUCACACUGGAAC